rnacentral:lncRNA from 1 species
AACAAAAAAUUCUUCCAUACAACAAAUAUUGUUGACCUAUUGCUUAUAGCUUAAGAAAAUAGACAAAAACACAAAAACUUAACACUGAGUAAUGAACCCUGAAAAUGAGGUCAAGGUCAAAGAAAACCUGUGCAACUGACAUAUAGAUCAUAAAAUAUUUCCAUACACCAAAUAUAGUUGACCUAUUGCAUAUAAUUUUAGACAAAAAGAC